UACUGGGCAGGAUCCAUCUGUUAGCUUGCCCCACUAGGCUCCACAACUUUGAGACUUCUAUGAUCAAAGGUUCUCUAAACAUGUUAGGGUUAGGCUUAUGGUUAGAGUUAGGUCUAGUGUUAGGGUUAGAGUUUGUCUUGUUCAAAUUUCUUUGAUACUGGGCAGGAUACAUUUUUACCUAGCCUUACUAUGUUCCCCAGGUUUCGGCCUUCUCAGUUCAAUUCUUUGCUGACAGGAACAAUUUGUACUUUACAGAUUCACUUCAUUUUGACCUACAUGGGUAAAU
rnacentral:lncRNA from 1 species